rnacentral:rRNA from 1 species
UGCGCAGGCGGGCUUGUAAGUCAGUGGUGAAAUACUGCCGCUUAACGGUAGAACUGCCAUUGAUACUGCGAGUCUUGAAUAUGGUUGAGGUAGGCGGAAUGUGUUGUGUAGCGGUGAAAUGCAUAGAUAUGACACAGAACGCCAAUUGCGAAGGCAGCUUACUAAGCCAUUAUUGACGCUGAGGCACGAAAGCGUGGGGAGCGAACAGGAUUAGAUACCCUGGUAGUC